rnacentral:rRNA from 1 species
CACGUAGGGUGCGAGCGUUGUCCGGAAUUAUUGGGCGUAAAGAGCUCGUAGGCGGUGUGUCGCGUCGGCCGUGAAAACCUGCAGCUCAACUGUGGGCUUGCGGUCGAUACGGGCAUCACUGGAGUUCGGCAGGGGAGACUGGAAUUCCUGGUGUAGCGGUGAAAUGCGCAGAUAUCCGGAGGAACACCGGUGGCGAAGGCGGAUCUCUGGGCCGAUACUGACGCUGAGGAGCGAAAGCGUGGGGAGCGAACAGG